CCUGUCUCUCAGGAAGUGGCACGUGAUAAAAGGCAGCGACAUCUCAACAAGAAAAGAAGAGAGUGUGUUUACAGAAGACAGUGACAGGAGUCAUGUUUUUUACCUUCAUUGUUUUGAUGUUGGUGUUCCUAAUAGAUGGAAACUAUGGACAGUCUGUUGAACAGACACAGCAACCCCAGUCUAUCUUCCAAGGAGACUCCAUAUAUCUGGAAUGCACCUCAACUGCUGCUUAUUUUUUCUGGUAUGUUCAGUAUCCUGGCCAAGCUCCAGAGAUGCUCCUAAGCAGUGUGUUAAAAGAAGAAAACAAAGGAUUUUUAGCUGAGCACAAGAGAAGUGGAACAUAUUUCCAUCUGAAAAAAGACAAAGCUGAACUGCAAGACUCCGGGGUGUAUUUCUGUGGUGUCAGUGACACAGUGACUAAGGGAUGGAGCCCACCUGUCACAUAACUUUCAAGCUGAGCUCUUGAUUUUCUAUAUAUGUUCCCUUUGCUAAAUAUGCUUCAGUGAAUUGCGGUGUUUGUAUGAAUGACCUGUAGGUGUCACUGUGUACAAGAAUUAUUUUGUACAUACAUAGUACUUUCUAUACUGCUAAAAGUGUUAGAGUUGACGUUCCUGCUAAAGUGUAAUGGCUGCAUUAAGCUGUGAUGAAUAAAGCACCAUACCCAUUCUUGGCUACCAAAAUAUAAUAUUAAUGUGUAACUUAUUCAUAUAUUUUAG